UUCCCCUAGUAACUGCGAGUGAAGCGGGAAAAGCUCAAAUUUAAAAUCUGGUGGUCUUUUGCCCAUCCGAGUUGUAAUUUAGAGAAGCGUCUUCCGCGCUGGACCGUACACAAGUCUCCUGGAACGGAGCGUCAUAGAGGGUGAGAAUCCCGUCUUUGGUACGGACCCCCAGGGCUUCUGUGAUGCGCUCUCGAAGAGUCGAGUUGUUUGGGAAUGCAGCUCAAAAUGGGUGGUGAACUCCAUCUAAAGCUAAAUAUUGGCGAGAGACCGAUAGCGAACAAGUACCGUGAGGGAAAGAUGAAAAGCACUUUGGAAAGAGAGUGAAACAGUACGUGAAAUUGUUGAAAGGGAAACGCUUAAAGUCAGUCGCGUCGACCGAGACUCAGCCUCGCUCUGGCUUGGUGUAUUUCUCGGCCCGACGGGUCAGCGUCAAUUUGGUCCCUCGGAUAAUGGCAAGGGAAAGGUGGCACCUUUGCGGGUGUGUUAUAGUCUUUUGUCGCAUGCGAGGGGUGAGAUUGAGGAACUCAGCACGCGUGCCCUUCUGGGUGUGUCGGGGCCUCGGCCCACGCCACGUGCUUAGGAUGCUGGCGUAAUGGCUUUAAACGACCCGUCUUGAAACACGGACCAAGGAGUCUAACAUGCCCGCGAGUGUUCGGGUGGAAAACCCGUGCGCGUAAUGAAAGUGAAAGUUGGGACCUUCGUCGUGAAGGGCACCGACGCCCGGACCAGACCUUCUGUGACGGAUCUGCGGUGGAGCGUGCAUGUUGGGACCCGAAAGAUGGUGAACUAUGCCUGAAUAGGGUGAAGCCAGAGGAAACUCUGGUGGAGGCUCGUAGCGAUUCUGACGUGCAAAUCGAUCGUCAAAUUUGGGUAUAGGGGCGAAAGACU
rnacentral:rRNA from 1 species